rnacentral:rRNA from 1 species
AUGGGUUCGAGGAUAGCUUUCUCUUGUUGUGCUCUGCUACUGGUCACACUGCUGCCUCUUUCGGCGAAUGCGUCGAGCAAACUCUACAUAGUGUACAUGGGGGAGAAGAAACAUGACGAUCCAUCUGUUGUGACCGCGUGGCACCAUGACAUACUAACCUCCGUACUUGGGAGCAAGGAUGAAUCCUUGAAGUCGAUGGUUUACAGUUACAAGCACGGAUUCUCUGGGUUCGCGGCAAUGCUCACCAAAACCCAAGCAAGGACUUUGGCAAACUUUCCUGAAGUUAUAAGUGUGAAACCUAACACCUACCACAUGGCGCACACAACUCGGAGCUGGGACUUCCUUGGCCUUGGGCACAACAAAUCACCACAACAAACUGACCUCCUACGAAAAGCGAAUUACGGUGAAGAUAUCAUUGUCGGGGUGAUCGAUUCAGGCAUAUGGCCUGAAUCACAAAGCUUUGACGACAACAGAUACGGCCCUGUGCCGGCACGGUGGAAAGGCAUAUGCCAGACCGGAACAGCGUUCAAUGCAUCGAGUUGCAAUAGAAAGAUCAUCGGCGCACGGUGGUACUCUGAGGGAAUUGACGCCAUGCACCUCAAGGGUGAGUACAUGUCGCCUCGGGAUUUCAACGGCCAUGGAACUCAUGUUGCCUCGACGAUUGCCGGAGGAGAAGUGCAAGGUGUGAGUUAUGGCGGCCUAGCCACCGGCAUGGCACGUGGCGGGGCACCGCGUGCACGGCUAGCAAUUUACAAGGUGUUAUGGGGCCCGAACACGGCAGCCAGUGACGCGGACAUCCUCGCAGCCAUUGACGAUGCCAUACAAGAUGGCGUGGAUGUCCUGUCGCUCUCACUGGGAGGUGCCGGUCACGAGUUCCCCGGGACACUUCAUGCAGUCUUGAGAGGGAUCUCAGUUGUCUUCUCUGCCGGGAAUGAUGGUCCGGCACCACAAAUGGUGACGAAUGUCAUGCCAUGGGUGACGACAGUGGCAGCUAGCACGAUGGACCGGGCCUUCCCAACCCUCAUAUCUCUCGGAAACAAAGAAAAGCUUGUGGGACAAUCUCUUUACUACAACUCAACUCUGAACAGCGACGGCUUCAAGGAGCUUGUUCACGCGGGAAGCUGCACCGCGGAGUGGUUAGCGUCAAACAACGUGACCGGCAAGAUCGUCCUGUGCUAG